rnacentral:rRNA from 1 species
GGUGAACGCUGACAGAAUGCUUAACACAUGCAAGUCGAUGGGGAAGUGGUGCUUGCACCAUGGUAACCAUGGCGGACGGGUGAGUAACGCGUAAGGAACUUGCCUGCGGGACUGGGAUAGCAGCAGGAAACUGCUGAUAAUACCGGAUAAGGUCAUUAAGCUGCAUAGCUUAGUGAUGAAAGGAGACGCCUGCGGAGAGCCUUGCGUCCUAUUAGCUAGUUGGAGGGGUAACGGCCCACCAAGGCGAAGAUAGGUAGCCGGCCUGAGAGGGUGGACGGCCACAAGGGGACUGAGAUACGGCCCUUACUCCUACGGGAGGCAGCAGUGGGGAAUAUUGGACAAUGGGGGCGACCCUGAUCCAGCAAUUCUGUGUGCACGAAGACGGUUUUCGGAUUGUAAAGUGCUUUCAGCAGGGAAGAAGGAAGUGACGGUACCUGCAGAAGAAGCGACGGCUAAAUACGUG